CCGGCCUUUUUGACGUCCCUAAGGCUCUCUCGCUGGCUGUUGUGGGCAACCGAUGCGGUUGGUCGCGCUGCUUCCUACGCUCGCCGGCGGAGCAGUGAGUUGCACCUGCUCGGGGAGAGGGUGUGGAUCUCUCGGAAAUGCUUGGGGUUUCGCUGAAGCGGACCUGAACAGACCGUAUCAGACUCGUCCUCCGUGCCUCGCCGCUCUUCGGUUCUGCUCUGUCCACCACCACGGCCCAAGCUGACAUCGUGCUGAUCUGAUUGGCAGUCAUGGACCAGAACUUAAUUCUGAACAUGAAUGACCACAGUUUUGUGGUCUGUGCUUUUAAUACGACUGUCUCCAAAGUGGAUGAUUUCUUGGCCAGUGAAGCAAAGGGAACCAAAGUGGUGGGUGCCCAUCCCUGAAAGAGAUGGUCUCCAAGCUGAAGAAACCCUGGCAGAUCAUCCUCCUGGUGAAGGCUGGGCAAGUUGUAGAUGAUGUCAUCAAAAAACUGGUACCAUUGUUGGACACUGGUGACAUCAUCAUUGAUGGAGGAAAUUCUGAAUAUAGGGACACCACAAGACGGUGCAAGACCUCAAGGCCAAGGGAAUUUUAUUUGUGGGGAGCGGAGUCAGUGGUGGAGAGGAAGGGGCCCGGUAUGGCCCAUCGCUCAUGCCAGGAGGGAACGAAGAAGCGUGGCCCCACAUCAAGACCAUCUGCCAAGGCAUUGCUGCAAAAGUAGGAACUGGAGAGCCCUGCUGUGACUGGGUGGGAGAUGAGGCAGCAGGCCACUUCGUGAAGAUGGUGCACAACGGGAUAGAGUACGGGGACGUGCUGCUGAUCUGUGAGGCAUACCACCUGAUGAAAGACGUGCUGGGCAUGGCGCAGGACACGAUGGCCCAGGCCUUUGAGGAUUGGAAUAAGACAGAGCUAGACUCAUUCCUGAUUGAAAUCACAGCCAAUAUUCUCAAGUUCCAAGAUGCUGAUGGCAAACGCUUGCUGCCAAAGAUCAGGGACAGUGCGGGACAGAAGGGCAUGGGGAAGUGGACCACCAUCUCCGCCCUGGAGUACAGUGUACCCGUCACCCUCACUGGAGAAGCUGUCUUUGCUCGGUGCCUGUCACCUCUGAAGAAUGAGAGAAUUCAAGCUAGCAAAAAGCUGAAGGGUCCCCAAAAGUUCCAGUUUGAUGGUGAUAAGAAAUCAUUCCUGGAGGACAUUUGGAAGGUCCCUCUACACUUCCAAGAUCAUCUCUUAUGCUCAAGCCUUUAUGCUGCUAAGGCAGCAUCACCUACUUUGGCUGGACCCUCAAUUAUGGUGGCAUCGCCCUGACGUGGAGAGGGGGCUACAACAUCAAAAAUGUAUUCGUAGGAAAGAUAAAGGGUGCGUUUGAUCAAAACCCAGAACUUCAGAACCUCCUACUGACAGCUUUAAGUCAGCUGUUGAAAACUGCCAGGGCCUCUGGUGGCGGGCACUCAGCACUGGGGUCCAGGCUGGCAUUCCCAUGCCCUGUUUUACAACUGCCCUCUUCUUCUAUGACAGGUAUAGACACAAGAUGCUUCCAGCCAACCUCAUCCAGGCUCAGCAGGAUUACUUCAAGGCUCACACCUGUGACUCUUGGCCAAACCAGGGCAGUUUAUCCACACCAACUGGACAGGCCACGGUGGCAGUGUGUCAUCCUCGUCAUACAAUGCCUGAUGGUGCUGCUGCUGUCGCCCUCCACGAUUCCAGAGACCAGGAUAUUCCAUGUGCCUCAUGGCACUGCCAGCUGGCCCUUUGCCCUGUUUUCUG